UACGGGGGGGGCAAGCGUUGUUCGGAAUUACUGGGCGUAAAGGGCUCGUAGGCGGCCAACUAAGUCAGACGUGAAAUCCCCAGGCUCAACCUGGGAACUGCGUCUGAUACUGGAUGGCUUGAAUCCGGGAGAGGGAUGCAGAAUUCCAGGUGUAGCGGUGAAAUGCGUAGAUAUCUGGAGGAAUACCGGUGGCGAAGGCGGCAUCCUGGCCCUGACCUGACGCUGAGGCGCGAUAGCGUGGGGAGCAAACGGG
rnacentral:rRNA from 1 species